CCUUCCUGUUGUUCUAGUUGCUUACAGAAUCUUUGCUCUACUGCUCGCAACUUAAAUUCUUGCUUGCUCUCAUGUACAGUAUGUUUGCUUGCAAGAAGUAGUACGCUGAAAUUGUACAGUUUGGUUGCAAGCAAGAAAACUGAACUGAAUUUGCUUCCUUGCAAACUGAACUUAAUUUGUACUCCUUCCAUAUUUUGAAAUGAGAAAUCUUAUUGUCAACUCUUAUGCUGGUAGGUCACUGUUGUAAGUUCAUUUGGGGUUGUAUUUAAGGUAAACUUUUGACCUUGGGGUUGUAUAAACUGGUCUAUGGUGAAACUGUACAUUCAGUUAAACUUCAUUAAAUUUGAAUUGGAUGUUGAAUGCCAUUUUUUGCAUAGUGUAAACUACAAGCAGUUUGCCAUGAAAUUCUAUUUCUUUUUCACUUUUAAGAAACAAUCACUGACCAGCAGCAGUAAUAUUUAUGCAAAAUUAUGCAAACUUUACUGAAAUUUUGAGCAUCUACAGUUUACUAAAAUUUUGUGUGACUUGUCCAUGAUUAUGCAGCAAAUUAAACUUGUGUUUAGUUAAACUUGUCCAUGAUCAUGCAGCAACUUAAACUUGUGUUUACUAAAAUGGAUGCUUUUGAUUCCCAUUCAACAAUAUAGUUACAUGUGAAAGUCUACCGAAACACCAUUGCCUGAAAUUAUACAUAUUGCUUGUGAGUUCUAAUGGUGGCAUAGUCAAGAAAAACCAUGAUUUAUUGGUCUCUUUUUAUCGUCAAAUAUUAGAAACUUAAGAAAGUAAAUUGAGACGAGCUGAUAUCUAUUAGGCACAUAUUGCUUGUGGACAUGCAUGGUGCUGCUGAAGCUACACAUGUUCUCCACCACAAACUUUGUAAUGUCUCCUCAUUUUUUCCUGCUUGUGAUCUUGUUGUGCAAAGUGGUUGAGGUACCUUCUUUUUAUACCCAUCUUGAUGAAGCCUAUAUUAAAUGCAUAAUUUAUACAAAUUAUUCUAUAAUAUUUGUAAAAGCAAACAUUUCACUAUGCAAGUCUGUUGUUUUAUUUGCCCUUUCUAGUACUUUCCUGCUUACAUUACUGUUGCCAUUGCGUUUGUUUGGUUCUGACCAGUAGCAGUACACUAAUGCUGGAAGUCUUUGUGUUCACUCUUUUAUAGGAGCGCCAGGACAAAUUUGAAGUGCAAAGCCAUGAAGCCAAGUGCAAAGCCGUGAUGCCAGAGAUUUGUUUGUUCUGUUUGACUGUAAUAGGCUGUAGAGAUUGUGACAUUGUAACAAAUUUAGUGUUAGUUGAUAAAUUAUGUUUGUUUUGUUUUGUUUGAAAUAGUGAUCUAAAAAUUUGUCAAAUGGAAACCUGAUUAGUGGG
rnacentral:lncRNA from 1 species